CGCCUUCCUGGGGCCGUGGCGGAGACCUGAUCCCGGCCUCUCCCACCCCUGUCCAGGCGAGGACGGUGUCCCUGGUGAAUCAUCACUGGUCCAGGAGGGGAGGAGACGGAGCCUGAGCUGCUGGGGGAGGGGGCUCGGGGAGGGAGGGGCCCGCGGGGGGCGCCAGGUCGGGGUCGGGUUUGCAGUCAUCCCCACAGUCUUGGCUCCGCGCACAGCUGCGCCGCCGGGAGGUUUCCGGUCACAGCACGUCUCUGGGCUUUUGGGUUCUUCCCUGGCCAGCCGUUCUCACAGCCGCCGCCCUUUCCUCCCUUGGCUGCUGCCCCAAGCGGGAGGGGAGGGAGGUCGUGUCCCCGGCGCUGGCUGGCUGGCCGAGGGGUGGGCGCUCUUAGUGACCCGCAGCGGGACCUCCCGGUGUAUUGGGUGCAGUUUGUGGGCUGUAUAACUGGAGUAUAAGGUAACCAGGAGGACCCAGGAGAAGGGUAGCUGUAGGUUUUUGUCUUUUUGUUUUGUUUUGACCUUGCCUGGGGCUUCUGGGAUCUUAAUUUCCUGACCAGGGAUUGAACCUGAGCCCCUUGCUUUGGAAAUUCCAAGUCUUAACCCCUUGGACCACCAGGGAAGUCUCCUGUAGCGGGUUUUGAAGGGGGUGUGACCUCAUGGUUUGUGAGCCUCAGCGGGGAGAAGGUUGGGGCCCUGAAAAAUGCAGGAUAUCUGGCCAGUGGAGAUGUGGGUUCCCCAGGCCGAGGAAGCAAGGUCAGAUAGGGGCACGGGCCUGCUGGGGUCCAGGACCGGAGGAGCGGGAGGCGCGCUGGAAAGGCCCCGCCCAUCCAGAGCCUGCAGCGUGACCCGCUGGUAGCCUUUCUGAGCCUCCAUGUCCUAAUCUGUAGGUGGGACAGCAGCUCUCUGUUUUGAAAAUUUACGAUGUACCUAAAACUAGAGCUGUUCCCAGCCUGGCGCUACUUGAUAACUUAGUCCUUUUCCCUCCUAGAAGGAGAAGAAAGUGAACUUAUGAGGCUUUGCCGGACACUUGGCAAACACAGCUAAGAGCCAAAUAGAGUUCAACAGAAUAGCUAAAUAUCUGAAAGAAGGCCACAGAACUGCCAGACUGGGUUACUGACGCCAGCCUAUGAGUGUCUUUGAAACAGUGCAAGAAGAAGAAAACCGAGAUCCUACUACCUUUGAUCCUCAUCACGGAUUCCUGACUGUGAGCCCUCAUAUAAGCCCCUAGUCUCCUCAUGAAGGGGGAAGGCACAGUUCUUGAGGCAUAAGCCUACUGUGUUCCCCUCUCUGCCAGCUGAGAAUUAAAGCCACCUUUCUAUUUCCUCCAAA